rnacentral:rRNA from 1 species
GACGAACGCUGGCGGCGUGCUUAACACAUGCAAGUCGAACGGAAAGGCCUCUUUCGGGGGGUACUCGAGUGGCGAACGGGUGAGUAACACGUGAGUAACCUGCCCUUGACUUUGGGAUAACUUCAGGAAACUGGGGCUAAUACCGGAUAGGAGCUCCUGCUGCAUGGUGGGGGUUGGAAAGUUUCGGCGGUUGGGGAUGGACUCGCGGCUUAUCAGCUUGUUGGUGGGGUAGUGGCUUACCAAGGCUUUGACGGGUAGCCGGCCUGAGAGGGUGACCGGCCAAAUUGGGACGGGGAUACGGCCCAGACUCCUACGGGAGGCAGCAGUGGGGAAUAUUGCACAAUGGGUGGAAGCCUGAUGCAGCAACGCCGGGUGCGGGAUGACGGCCUUCGGGUUGGAAACCGCUUUCGCUCAUGACGAAGCUUUGUGUGACGGUAGUGGGUAAAGAAGCACCGGCUAACUACGUG